rnacentral:tRNA from 2 species
GGGCUGCUAGCUCAGUGGAAGAGCACUUGCCUUUUAAGCAAGGGGUCCUAGGUUCGAUUCCUAGGCAGCCCA